GUGGGGAAUAUUGGACAAUGGGCGAAAGCCUGAUCCAGCCAUGCCGCGUGUGUGAAGAAGGUCUUCGGAUUGUAAAGCACUUUAAGUUGGGAGGAAGGGCAGUAAGUUAAUACCUUGCUGUUUUGACGUUACCGACAGAAUAAGCACCGGCUAACUUCGUGCCAGCAGCCGCGGUAAUACGAAGGGUGCAAGCGUUAAUCGGAAUUACUGGGCGUAAAGCGUGCGCAGGCGGUUAUAUAAGACAGAUGUGAAAUCCCCGGGCUCAACCUGGGAACUGCCUCCAAAACUGCAUGACUAGAGUACGGUAGAGGGUAGUGGAAUUUCCUGUGUAGCGGUGAAAUGCGUAGAUAUAGGAAGGAACACCAGUGGCGAAGGCGACUACCUGGACUGAUACUGACACUGAGGUGCGAAAGCGUGGGGAGCAAACAGGAUUAGAUACCCUAGUAGUCC
rnacentral:rRNA from 1 species